rnacentral:rRNA from 1 species
AAUAGCUCACUAGUCGAGUCGGCCUGCGCGGAAGAUGUAACGGGGCUAAACAUAACACCGAAGCUGCGGUAGCGUAAUUUAUUACGCUAGGUAGGGGAGCGUUCUGUAAGUGGCUGAAGGUGAAUUGAGAAGUUUGCUGGACAUAUCAGAAGUGCGAAUGUUGACAUGAGUAACGAUAAUGGGGGUGAAAAACCCCCACGCCGAAAGACCAAGGGUUCCUAUCCCAUGCUAAUCAGGGUAGGGUAAGUCGGCCCCUAAGGCGAGGCAG